UUAGACCCCCUCGCACAUCACACGCAGCCUCUCAGUUGUCACGCACUGAUCUGCCAAAGAUUAACAAAGGAGGAAGAGGGGAUGCUCUUAAUGCAAAGCUUAAUGAUCACAUAAGGAAAAAGAAAGAAAAGCCUACAAUAACGAUCAAACCAGGUAAUAAGAUUCCAACUGGGGAUUGGGCCACUGAAUUCCAAACUGAAAUAGGAAUCAUCGUC